rnacentral:lncRNA from 1 species
CUUCCCACUUUUCCCCCAAAACUUUUACUCCCCUCCCCUUCCAACCCCCUAAUCUACCCAAAAUCCAUUUCCCACCAAAAUUUUACUCCCCAAAACCCUCAAAACCUUUUAUUUUUCCACAAAAUUUUUACUUCCUCCCACUUUUCCCCUAAAACUUUUAUUCCCUUCCUAUCCCACCUCCCAUCUACCCCAAACCCUCCCCCCUCCAAUUUUUUUUUAAUAUUUUCUCUCCAAAAUUUUACUCCCCCUAUUUACUUUCCCUCAAACUUUUAUUCCCCAAAACUUUUUAUUUUCCC